AUUGCUUCUUAUGGUCAACCCCUUUUAAUCAAAAUAUGAGGUAUCUGUUAAAGUUUCGGAAGCAAAAAUUAAUUUUUAAACCAGUAUUAAACAAGAAUGUGUAUUUUCCGCUGUACUUUGUUACCUGCUUUUUUUGGUACAUUU